CGUAAACGAUGAAUGCUAAGUGUGGAGGGUUUCCGCCUUCAGUGCUGCAGCUAACGCAUUAAGCAUUCCGCCUGGGGAGUACGGCCGCAAGGCUGAAACUCAAAGGAAUUGACGGGGGCCCGCACAAGCGGUGGAGCAUGUGGUUUAAUUCGAAGCUACGCGAAGAACCUUACCAGGUCUUGACAUACUAUGCAAAUCUAAGAGAUUAGACGUUCCCUUCGGGGACAUGGAUACAGGUGGUGCAUGGUUGUCGUCAGCUCGUGUCGUGAGAUGUUGGGUUAAGUCCCGCAACGAGCGCAACCCUUAUUAUCAGUUGCCAGCAUUAAGUUGGGCACUCUGGUGAGACUGCCGGUGACAAACCGGAGGAAGGUGGGGAUGACGUCAAAUCAUCAUGCCCCUUAUGACCUGGGCUACACACGUGCUACAAUGGAUGGUACAACGAGUUGCGAACUCGCGAGAGUAAGCUAAUCUCUUAAAGCCAUUCUCAGUUCGGAUUGUAGGCUGCAACUCGCCUACAUGAGGUCGGAAUCGCUAGUAAUCGCGGAUCAGCAUGCCGCGGUGAAUACGUUCCCGGGCCUUGUACACACCGCCCGUCACACCAUGAGAGUUUGUAACACCCAAAGUCGGUGGGGUAACCUUUAGGAACCAGCCGCCUAAGGUGGGACAGAUGAUUAGGGUGAAGUCGUAACAAGGUAACCA
rnacentral:rRNA from 1 species